GCCCUAUACCCGGGUCUGAGUGCAGUUUAGAAUUAGAGGGGUUGUGUAGCGGUGCCACUUUGGAUAUUCUUCCUGUUUGGCUAUCGUGAGAACCCCAACUAGAGUCUGUUCUUUUCAUUCGUGUCUUCACACCUAGUUGAUUACUCGACUGUUGUGGAGAUGCUGUGAAGAGGGCCAUAGCUCUAGCGACCAUUGACCUCUAGGUUCAGGAGACCAUCCUUGUGAGGUUGCAUAUACUUGACCCCCAAUCUGAAGCGCCGAACCUUUAUUUAGGGCACAAAGGGAGAUGUGUGCG
rnacentral:lncRNA from 1 species